rnacentral:rRNA from 1 species
GGGGAAUAUUGCGCAAUGGGGGCAACCCUGACGCAGCCAUGCCGCGUGAAUGAAGAAGGCCUUCGGGUUGUAAAGUUCUUUCGGUAGCGAGGAAGGCAUUUAGUUUAAUAGACUAGGUGAUUGACGUUAACUACAGAAGAAGCACCGGCUAACUCCGUGCCAGCAGCCGCGGUAACACGGAGGGUGCGAGCGUUAAUCGGAAUAACUGGGCGUAAAGGGCACGCAGGCGGUGACUUAAGUGAGGUGUGAAAGCCCCGGGCUUAACCUGGGAAUUGCAUUUCAUACUGGGUCGCUAGAGUACUUUAGGGAGGGGUAGAAUUCCACGUGUAGCGGUGAAAUGCGUAGAGAUGUGGAGGAAUACCGAAGGCGAAGGCAGCCCCUUGGGAAUGUACUGACGCUCAUGUGCGAAAGCGUGGGGAGCAAACAGGAUUAGAUACCCUGGUAGUCCACGCUGUAAACGAUGUCGAUUUGGGGGCUGAACUUUAAGUUUGGCGCCCGUAGCUAACGUGAUAAAUCGACCGCCUGGGGAGUACGGCCGCAAGGUUA